UUUGGCCAUAGAUAUGAUAUUGGGUUUUAUUCUGCAACUUAAAUCCAUACAUUUGCAAACAACUGUUACGAACUGACAAUGGCCUUUAGUCAGAAACAGUAAUACCAAACAAUGAAGAUUAAUCCACCAACUCAUAGAUGAAUAUGAUACUGUUAGAGUCUUCAGUAUUGUUGUAUUAUAUUGUAUUAUGCAUGGUUUUAUGUUUCUUAUACCUCACUGAGAGCAGACAGAGUUGUAUGGAAUCCCUAUGGAGAUGUGAAGGAGGUGUUUUUGUGCUGGGGUAUAUCACUGUGAUAUGGACUGGAGGGUCACAGUGAAAUUAGGCUGUACAAAAACCUCAGAGACAAAACCUGCAUUAUAUCUGCAUGAGGAUUGGAACAAUGGGGAGAAACCAUUCAAUAUUCUUCAAAUGAUCGUCUCGUAUUGAUGUAACCUCAUUGUAAAUUGCUUUACAUUUUUAAAAGUAUGUUUUGAUGGAGUGAUGUCAUGACAUGGACCUGAGCAUUCAUUUAUAAAAGGUGCAGGGUUUUUGUACAGGCAGUGAAUGGAGACAGAGCACUGUGACGCUUUUGACUACUGGGGUAAAGGGACACAAGUCACCGUCUCAGCAGCAACCACAGCCCCCUCUUCCCUAUUCCCUCUUAUGAACUGUGGAACCCCUACUAACGACAUCUACAGCAUUGGUUGUGUCGCUACCGGCUUUUCGCCUUCCUUAAUCACCUUCAAAUGGACAGACGCCAGUGGGAGUGCGCUGAUGGACUUUGUCCAGUACCCGUCGGUUCAGAGCGGGGGAGCCUACAUCGGAGUCAGUCAGCUCCGUGUGUCUAAGAAUGACUGGGGAAAAUCUCAGUAUUUCAGGUGUUCUGUGGAACAUCUUGGAAGUGAACAGACAGCAGUCAUCAAUAAACAACCAGUCUCAGUGUCUUUGCUGUCAGCGCCCAUUGGCAACACCCAGUACACCCUGAUGUGUAUGAUUGAAGAUUUAGCCGUUGUGGAAGUCACUGUCACCUGGAAGAAGAAUGAUAAGGAGGUCGAGGGCCCGACCCCUACUGUAGGUCUACAGCCAUCAGGCCUCUACUCAGCCAGCAGUCUGCUGAAGGUCAACAACACUGACUGGAACAACAAGGUCAAGUACAGCUGUGUGGUGCAGCACCAGGGACAAACCACCAUCAAGACAAUCUCCAAAACAGAACCACUGACGGUGACUCUGAACCCACCGAGUGUGAAAAAGGUGUUCCUCGACAACCAAGCAGUGCUGGACUGUGUCAUCACUGGUACAGACCAGAACACAGUGGCUGGUACCACUAUCACCUGGCAGGUCAACGGAAAGGACAAGACGGAAAAAAUAGUUGAAUCACAGGGCAACCUGAACAGCAGGGUCAGUACUCUGACCAUAGACCAGACGGAGUGGACCAAUGUGAACAAAGUCCAGUGUUCUGCCAUGAAGAGAGGUGAAGUCACACCGGUCAUUCAGGACAUCAGCUUUACCAAAGGAAGUCGAGCCCCUUCAGUGUCCGUUCACCUUCUCCCGGAGGAAGACACCAAGAAGGAGGGGGAUGUGACUCUGGUGUGCCUGGUGGUCAGCCCGUCUCUCUGUGACAUCUACAUCAUGUGGAAGGAGGACAGCAGCGAGUACCAGGAUGGGGUCACCAGCCCUCCUCAGAAAACCCCGGAAGGCAACUACUCUGUCACCAGUGUCUUCACCGUCAAAAAAAAUAAGUGGGAGGGAAACUCGGUUUUCACAUGUGUCGUCAAGCACCGCUUGGACAACAACACAGCACCUCAGGAGAGGAGUGUGUCAAAGUCCAUGGCGAACAUCCUACUGACUGAGCCUGAGGUGGGCUUCUCUCUGAGCUGCAUGGACAACUUUGAGGAUGAGUUCAGCAGCCUGUGGUCCACCACCUCCUCCUUCAUCAUCCUCUUCCUUCUCUCUCUCACCUACAGCACAGUACUCAGCCUGGUCAAGAUGAAGCAGCGAAGAACACAUGAUGGACUGCAGAGAUAGAUGUGUCUAGAUUAGAAAGAUGGUUAUGGCACAGUGUUCUUCACUAAUAAUGUUAUGUAUAUAUCCAAUACAUUAUUGAUUAUGAUUGAUUUGUUUUGUUGAUCUCAAUAUUAUGCAAGCAUUGUGGUGAUGUGUUAUUUUUCCUUCAUUGAUUUCUAUUGUACACUAUCUUUAAAUUAAGUGUAUCCUCUGAUGUCUCUGUAAUCUAUUUCACUUGAAUAAAGUCUAAGAUUUAGCUA